rnacentral:rRNA from 1 species
AACCUGGUUGAUCCUGCCAGUCAUAUAUGCUUGUCUUAAAGAUUAAGCCAUGCAUGUCUAAGUAUAAACACUUGUACUGUGAAACUGCGAAUGGCUCAUUACACCAGUUAUAAUUUACUCAACGAUGCUUCUACAUGGAUAACCGUGGGAAACCAGAGCUAAUACAUGCGCAGACGGGCAGCAAUGCCCCGUAUUUAUUAGGUACAGACCAACACACGUUGCGUUGAUUCACAGUAACUGCACGGAUCACACGGCCUUGCGCCGGCGACAGGUUGACCAAAUUUCUGCCCUAUCAACUAUGGAUGGUAGGAUAGAGGCCUACCAUGGUGAUCACGGGUAACGGAGAAUUAGGGUUCGAUUCCGGAGAGGGAGCCUGAGAGACGGCUACCACAUCCAAGGAUGGCAGCAGGCGCGCAAAUUACCCAAUCCUGACGCAGGGAGGUAGUGACAAGAAAUAACAAUGCGCGGCACUCAGUGCGGCGCAAUUGGAAUGAGAACAAUGCAAACAGGAUAUCGAGUAACGAUUGGAGGGCAAGUCUGGUGCCAGCAGCCGCGGUAAUUCCAGCUCCAAUAGCGUAUAUUAAAGUUGUUGCAGUUAAAAAGCUCGUAGUUUGAGUGGGCGCCGCCCGGAAGGGCGGUGCGGCUGCACGCGGCGUGUGCAUUCAGUUGCGCGUCGGCGCGUGCGGCGUGUUACUUUGACGAAAGUGGAGUGCUCAAGGCAGGCGCACGCCUGUACAUUUCAGCAUGGGAUAACGGAGGAGACGUCCUUUGUUGGUUCAGGAGGCCCGGGCAUCAAUAGGGACAGUCGGGGGCAUUGGUAUUUGGAAGUCAGAGGUGAAAUUCUUGGAUUUUCCAACGACCAGCCGGUGCGAAAGCAUUUGCCAAGGAUGUUCCCGUUGAUCAAGAACGAAAGUUAGGGGCGCGAUGACGAUUAGAUACCGUCGUAGUCUUAACCGUAGACGAUGCCGACCGGGGAUCGGCUGCAGUCGUCGCGACGCAGCCGGCACCCAGCGAGAAAUCAGAGUUUCUGGGUUCUGGGGGGAGUAUGGUCGCAAGGCUGAAACUUGAAGGAAUUGACGGAAGGGCACCACCAGGAGUGGAGCCUGCGGCUUAAUUUGACUCAACACGGGGAAACUCACCAGGUCCGGACAUGGCAAGGAAUGACAGACUGAGCGCUCUUUCACGAUUCUAUGGGUGGUGGUGCAUGGCCGUUCUUAGUUGGUGGAGCGAUUUGUCAGGCUAAUUCCGGUAACGAGCGAGACCACCGCUGCACGUUCGGCAACGCCGUGCAGGACUCGCUGGGCCAACCAGCGGGAAGCGGGUGGCAAUAACAGGUCUGUGAUGCCCUUAGAUGUUCUGGGCCGCACGCGCGCUACACUGGCCGGGGCAGCGAGGGGGCGGCGCGAGCGCGCUGCCGAAUCGGGAAGCCCGGCCGUGCUGGGGAUAGACCGUUGCAAUUGUCGGUCUUGAACGAGGAAUUCCUAGUAGGCGCCGGUCAUCAGCCAGCGCCGACUAUGUCCCUGCCCUUUGUACACACCGCCCGUCGCUACUACCGAUUGAGUGUGCUAAUGAGGCGCGCAGAGCGGCCUUGCGGCUGCGAAGCGCGACGAAUUGGGACAUUUAGAGGAAGUAAAAGUCGUAACAAAGUUUCCGUAGGUGAACCUGCAGAAGGAUCA